rnacentral:rRNA from 1 species
UACGUAGGGGGCAAGCGUUUGUCCGGAUUUAUUGGGCGUAAAGAGCGUGUAGGCGGCUAGAUAGGUCCGUUGUGAAAACUCGAGGCUCAACCUCGAGACGUCGAUGGAAACCAUCUGGCUAGAGUCCGGAAGAGGAGAGUGGAAUUCCUGGUGUAGCGGUGAAAUGCGUAGAGAUGGGGGAGAACACUCGUGGCGGAAGGCGGCCAGCUAGACCAGUUCUGACACUGAGGCGCGAUAGCGUGGGGGAGCAAACAGG